rnacentral:rRNA from 1 species
AUUGAACGCUGGCGGCAGGCCUAACACAUGCAAGUCGAGCGGAUGAAGGGAGCUUGCUCCUGGAUUCAGCGGCGGACGGGUGAGUAAUGCCUAGGAAUCUGCCUGGUAGUGGGGGAUAACGUCCGGAAACGGGCGCUAAUACCGCAUACGUCCUGAGGGAGAAAGUGGGGGAUCUUCGGACCUCACGCUAUCAGAUGAGCCUAGGUCGGAUUAGCUAGUUGGUGGGGUAAAGGCCUACCAAGGCGACGAUCCGUAACUGGUCUGAGAGGAUGAUCAGUCACACUGGAACUGAGACACGGUCCAGACUCCCACGGGAGGCAGCAGUGGGGAAUAUUGGACAAAGGGCGAAAGCCUGAUCCAGCCAUGCCGCGUGUGUGAAGAAGGUCUUCGGAUUGUAAAGCACUUUAAGUUGGGAGGAAGGGCAGUAAGUUAAUACCUUGCUGUUUUGACGUUACCAACAGAAUAAGCACCGGCUAACUUCGUG